rnacentral:lncRNA from 1 species
GGUAAUCUCCAAUCAAGUAAUGCUUACAAUUAGUGGAGUGAACGAGAAAUUGUCAUAAUUUAAAUAUAUAUUUAAGAAAGUUUAGAUAGGAAACUUCAUUCUUUCAUUAUGAAUACUACUUGGUGCAAUACUAUGUAAUUAUGAUUCCCAUUUAUGUUAAACCAAUUUUAAAAGAUAGAAUGUUUAAUUCUUUGCUAAACAUUACAAUAAUUAAAUGUUAUUUAAUUAAUAAUUGGUUCAUUUAGUUAUGAAGAUGUUUUAAAAACUGGCUCAAACCACUAUUAUAACUCUUGUAACUAAAGUAAUGACAACCGCCCAAAAAAUAAAUUUGGAAGAUGUUAAAAAAAUGUUUAAAGAAGAGAGGAUAUGGAAUCGAUCAAUCAAUGAUUGUCGAUUGAGAUUCAAUGCAAAUUAAUCAACCGUUUGGGUUAAAUGUGUUGAAGUUCUUAUAUAGCUGGCCAAGUCCUGAUAGACACACCUCUAUCUCGAGGUCGUCUAUAUUUUUUUUUAAUAUAAUGUAAAUCGAAUGUGAUUUGGAUUAAUUAAUAUUUCAAACUGUUUAUUUCUUAGUAUGUUGUCAAGAUUUUUUAUCUUUUUAUACAAGUUUUGUUCCAUAGGAACAAAUGAACAAGGUUGAUCUGGGUCAAGUUCAGCGGUUCUGUCGUUCACCGAGAACUCUGUUCUCUUUUAAACAGACUCAGUUUGGUAACAGGCACUUAAAACAAGGGGAUCCGCUAGAAAAUUCGGUCCCAGGAUAUGAUAUUUGAUACAAACAGGGCCGUAGCUAUAUGCAGAGUGCGUACUGCCCCUCCCUCGGGGUCCCCGAAAACCAAGGUUGCUUAAUACAAUGGUUUUCAAAGUGAGAGCUGUGUGGAGAGCCUAUGGGGGUUACAGGAAGAUGAAGUCUUUCAGUCUACACAUACAUAGUACACAUGUUUCAUAUAAAGAGGGCCUCAGCUAAUAAUGUAUUAAUGAAUGGACCCUUAUCAUAAGACCCCGACAACUUAGGAAUGGACCUGGAUCCAUAAUCUACCCUACCCUUUUCCCUCGUUUAUUUACAGCGUCUGGUGCCUAAAAUCACUUUUCCAGAUCCAUUAGAAGCCCUUAGCUAUUUGGAACUCAGAUACAAAUAUAUCACCCUGGCGACUUCAAAAAUCAUUGGAAAACGUUGAAAUCACACAUAAGAAACUCAUUAAAUUGACUUGUUGAUUAAAGCUAAUUUUUUUUAUAAUAUAUGUACAUUGUAUUUUCUUUAUAUAUUCUAUACAGGAACGAAAGCACAAGAACCGAGACUGAUAAGCAAUAUAUUUAGGUCUCGGUUCGACUUUGUCGGUUCCGGUUCAAGAAUCGGAAGGGCUAGACCGAUAAGGGAUCAACUUUGCAAAUGAAUAAUUAUCAAAAAAUAUAUGGUAUGCUGAUAAUUUCAGCCAAUUUUCCAA